CUUUUUGCGGUCUGGGCUUGCUGUUCAUAACUAUUAAUCUGGGAAGCCCUUACCCCAAAAAGCAU
ensembl:miRNA